rnacentral:rRNA from 1 species
UACGUAGGCAGCAAGCGUUGUUCGGAAUUACUGGGCGUAAGGAGUGUGUAGGCGGUGCUCUAAGUUCGGUGUGAAAUCUCCCGGCUCAACUGGGAGGGUGCGCCGGAAACUGGGGUGCUGGAGCGCGGGAGAGGAAAGCGGAAUUCCUGGUGUAGCGGUGAAAUGCGUAGAUAUCAGGAGGAACACCGGCGGUGUAGACGGCUUUCUGGACCGUAGCUGACGCUGAGACACGAAAGCGUGGGUAGCAAACAGG